GCUGGUGUAGCUCAGCUGGUAGAGCACGUCACUCGUAAUGACGGGGUCACCGGUUCGAUUCCGGUCACCAGCUCCA
rnacentral:tRNA from 1 species